rnacentral:rRNA from 1 species
AGUGAACGCUGGCGGUAGGCCUAACACAUGCAAGUCGAACGGCAGCACAGUAAGAGCUUGCUCUUACGGGUGGCGAGUGGCGGACGGGUGAGGCAUACAUCGGAAUCUACUUUUUCGUGGGGGAUAACGUAGGGAAACUUACGCUAAUACCGCAUACGACCUACGGGUGAAAGCAGGGGCUCUUCGGACCUUGCGCGAUUGAAUGAGCCGAUGUCGGAUUAGCUAGUUGGCGGGGUAAAGGCCCACCAAGGCGACGAUCCGUAGCUGGUCUGAGAGGAUGAUCAGCCACACUGGAACUGAGGCACGGUCCAGACUCCUACAGUGAGCAGCAGUGGGGAAUAUUGGGCAAUGGGCGCAAGCCUGAUCCAGCCAUACCGCGUGGAUGAAGAAGGCCUUCGGGUUGGAAAGCCCUUUUGUUGGGAAAGAAAGGCAGCAGGUUAAUACCCCGCUGUUCUGACGGUACCCAAAGAAUAAGCACCGGCUAACUUCGUG